CGUGUUUAUGAUGAGUUCUAUCACUUUUUCAAGAAUUUAUGUGAUUGUAUUUAACAUGCACUACCAACUGAAACACG